GAAAGAUAUGUGGCAAUGAAAUAGGGAUUAAGUUGAACAAAAUUAAUUAGGUGAUAGGGUCAUGGAAACACUUUUUUGUUAAUUAGUUUCUCAAAUUUUUUAUCAGCUUCUCCAAAAAUUUAUAAAAAAAUCUUUAAUAUGGGUAGUAAAUUUUAAUUUUUUAUUUAUUGGCCCUCAAAUUUUCCUUCGACCUUUAAUAAUUUAUAGUUUUUUUAUUUGAA
rnacentral:misc_RNA from 1 species